rnacentral:lncRNA from 1 species
GUUGCUCGUUAUUUUUGAAAGUUGGAGAGUUCAAAUUUUUGCAAAUUUGGCUUUCAAAAUGGUUCGCAGAAGAAAAUUGAAACAAUUUCAAGCCUUUUCAACUUCUAUUUCUCCUUCUCUCUCAUCCGUUCUUCAAUAUCUCUCUCUAUUGGUGCGUGCAACUAUUUCUCCAAGCUUCGAAGGCUUUGACGAUAAGAGGAAGACAUCUUCCUCUUCAUGCGAGUCCCCUAUUGCUCUCUGUCUCUCUUCACCAUUCCUCUUCCCCAAGAGGAAGCUUCAAAGCCUCUGGUAGGCGGUAGCCUAUUUCCUUCACCAUUGCGUGCCCUCUCUCUCUUUUCCCCCUUUUGAGGAAGCUUUGAAGUCCUUGUUUCGUUGACUUCUCUCUCUCUUCGAUUGAGAGAGACGAGUGGACUGUGAAGUGUUAAAAGAUAAAAGCCGAAGUACAAGCUACUUAAUUGGUACUGUUCGGAUCCCUGUUUUUUCUAUUUGGGCAUCUUUGAUUUU